rnacentral:rRNA from 1 species
CCUACGGGAGGCAGCAGUGGGGAAUCUUGCGCAAUGGGCGAAAGCCUGACGCAGCCAUGCCGCGUGAAUGAUGAAGGUCUUAGGAUUGUAAAAUUCUUUCACCGGGGACGAUAAUGACGGUACCCGGAGAAGAAGCCCCGGCUAACUUCGUGCCAGCAGCCGCGGUAAUACGAAGGGGGCUAGCGUUGCUCGGAAUUACUGGGCGUAAAGGGAGCGUAGGCGGAUAGUUUAGUCAGAGGUGAAAGCCCAGGGCUCAACCCUGGAAUUGCCUUUGAUACUGGCUAUCUUGAGUGUGGGAGAGGUAUGUGGAACUCCGAGUGUAGAGGUGAAAUUCGUAGAUAUUCGGAAGAACACCAGUGGCGAAGGCGACAUACUGGCCCAUUACUGACGCUGAGGCUCGAAAGCGUGGGGAGCAAACAGGAUUAGAUACCCUGGUAGUCCACGCUGUAAACGAUGAGUGCUAGUUGUCGGCAGGCAUGCCUGUCGGUGACGCAGCUAACGCAUUAAGCACUCCGCCUGGGGAGUACGGUCGCAAGAUUAAAAACCUCAAAAGGAUAGUACG